AGAUUGAACGCUGGCGGCAUGCCUUACACAUGCAAGUCGAACGGUAACGCGGGGCAACCUGGCGACGAGUGGCGAACGGGUGAGUAAUGCAUCGGAACGUGCCCAGUAGUGGGGGAUAGCCCGGCGAAAGCCGGAUUAAUACCGCAUACGACCUACGGGUGAAAGCGGGGGACUCGCAAGAGCCUCGCGCUAGUUGGAGCGGCGAUGUCAGAUUAGCUAGGUUGGUAGGGUAAAACGCCUAACCGAAGGCGACGAUCGUGUAGCUGGUCUGAGAGGACACAGCCACG
rnacentral:rRNA from 1 species